rnacentral:rRNA from 1 species
AGUAGCCGCGGGAAUACAGAGGGUGCGAGCGUUAAUCGGAUUUACUGGGCGUAAAGCGUGCGUAGGCGGCUUCUUAAGUCGGAUGUGAAAUCCCUGAGCUUAACUUAGGAAUUGCAUUCGAUACUGGGAAGCUAGAGUAUGGGAGAGGAUGGUAGAAUUCCAGGUGUAGCGGUGAAAUGCGUAGAGAUCUGGAGGAAUACCGAUGGCGAAGGCAGCCAUCUGGCCUAAUACUGACGCUGAGGUACGAAAGCAUGGGGAGCAAACAGGAUUAGAUACCCGAGUAGUCCCUGUCUCUUAUACA